rnacentral:lncRNA from 1 species
CCGGGCGGGGCGCCGAGGGAUGGCGGCCCGGGAGGAGCGGCGAGGUGAGGGCCGCCCGCGCUCGCCCGGCCUCUCCGGCGGCCCCUCCUCCCGGGGCCCGCUCCCGCGAGGCGGCGGCCCUGCCCUUCUCCUUUCCCUCAGCGCCAAAAAAGGGCCGGCGGAGCGCGGCGGGCGUCCUCGCGCGGGCUCUCCCGGGCGGCGCCAGGCGGGAAGGGAAUUCCAGCUCCCAGCCAGCAGCCUCCUCCCCCGCCGCCCUUCUCACUUCCGCCCGCGGGACCCCAGCCGCCGGCCUGACCUGCCGGCUGGAUCCGGCUCUCGGGGAGGCCCGGGAAGCUGCGGGCCCGGGCGCCUCGGCUGCGGACGCGCAGCUGCGGGAGGCGGAGGGCGCGCGUCCCCGCAGCCUCUCCGCCCGCCCGGGGCGCGCCGGCUCCGCCGCUUGUUGGGGGCUGCAGUGAUGCUCCGGGGUACCCCAGGGAGAAGAAAUUCGUUUUCUCUCCCACGCUGCUUUACACGGGCUAAAGAAAAAGAAAUGAGCGUGGGAGGAAAGGGAAGGAUGGAGUCUCUGGUCCAGGGAGACAAAAAGGCAUCAAAUAUGGGGUCGUCCUUCUGGCCCAGUCCGGCAUCGAGUGUCAGUGGGCUGAGGCACGCAGGCGAUCUAUGGACAGUUGGUGGCAAUGUUGGUGGCACGUAGAGCUGAUUCUCUGGUAGCGUGGUCGCGUAGGAGCCAUCUUACAGGAGGUCCAGGCAGAUGGCAGCAGGUUCUCAGAGGAAUCGGGUUGGGAGGCAGGGGAGCUUGCAUUUGCCACUGGGGCCCCUUAUUCUCCCUAAGUUAUUAAAAGAAAGAUGAAAGCGCAGCCCGACUAAAUAAAGUUACAUCACGUGGCUUCUGGUUUUAAACCAUGUUUUCUAUGAGCCAUUGCUUUUCUACUUCAGUCCAGUCCAUUACGGAAUGUUAUCCUGGCGCAAAAGAUCUGACAAAAUUGGCUCAUAAAUGUCUGCAAGAAGUAGCUUUUCUUGUCACCCCCUUUCUCCACCUACCCUGCCCCCAUCAUCUGAGGACUAUUAAGAGAGACCACACGUGCGGUUUGGCUGAGCGCGGUGGCUCACGCCUGUAAUCCCAUGACUUUGGGAAGCCCAGGUGGGCAGAUCACGAGGUCAGGAGUUCGAGAGCACCAUGGCCAACAUGGUGAAACCCCGUCUCUACUAAAAAUACAAAAAUUAGCCGGGCGUGGUGGCACGCGCCUGUGAUCCCAGCUACUCGGGAGGCUGAGGCAGGAGAAUUGCUGGAACCCGGGAGGCGGAGGUUGCAGUGAGCCGAGAUCGCGCCACUGCACUCCAGCCUGGGCGACAGAGCGAGACGCCGUCUCGGAAAAGAGAGACCACUUGUUUCCUAUGUUCUCUCACUGAACAUUGCAAUUAGAAGGCCCACCCCAAAUAAUAAUAGGAAGGACUUUUUGUCUUGCUAAUGAAUUCAUCCCAGGAAGGGGGUGGGGGGAGAAAUAUAUUGUUUGGAUUAUCUUUGGGUAGGAGAAGGGAGAAGGAUUGGGAGGAAGCAGAGGGUGUGUUCACUCUUAUCUUACAAAACAAAAACAGAAAACCUUGAAAACUUACCCCAAACCAAGAUUUGAGAACCACCUAUGAUAAACAGUCCUUAACUUGGAGAGAAUAUGUGUUUGGUUUUUUUUUUUAUUAUUACAAGCUUCAGCUUUCUUCUUGAAUGACAGAUUGUUAAAUAAUAUCUUCUUCAUAAGUACAUUUCCCCUAUUUAAAGAAGAUACAUCCUACCAUGCUAACAUUUUACCUUAGGAAGGAGAAAGGGUUAAAAACCAGAGAACUAAAAGAAAGUCAAAGGUGAAACAUGAGAUCCUUUCAACAUAGUUUGGUUACAUUUGUGGUUCUUACUACGAAAUUUAUCUGCUUCACAGAGAGGUGUUGUUGUCAUCUUUUACUUUGUUUAUUAUUAUUACUUGGGAAAGGAGGUUUAUCUUUUUAUUUUUUAGAAAAAAAAAUGCAUUUUUUUUUUUUUUUGAGACAGAGUUUCCCUCUUGUUGCCCAGGCUGGAGUGCAAUGCUGCGAUCUCAGCUUUCUGCAACCUCCACCUCCCGGGUUCAAGUGAUUCUCCUGCCUCAGCCUCCGGAGUAGCUGGGAUUCCAGGCAUGAGCCACCACACCCGGCUAAUUUUGUAUUUUUAGUAGAGACGGGGUUUCACCAUGUUGGUCAGGCUGGUCUGGAACUCCCGACCUCACGUGAUCCACCCACCUCGGCCUCCCAAAGUGCUGGGAUUACAGGCAUGAGCCUCCAUGCCCAGCAAAAAAAAAUGCAUUUUUUUUUUCCAUAGAGAUAGGGUCUUGCUACCUUGCCCAAGACAGACCUCAAACUCCUGGCCCCAAGGGAUCCUGCCACCCCAAGUGAUCCUGCUGCCUUGGUCUCUCAAAGCACUACUGUGCCUGGCCUAUUUUCUUUAUAAUAAUGCUAGGAAUAAGGAACUAAAAAAUAAAAGACAUAGAAAAUGUUCUAGUAGAUUCUGGCCUCCCUGGAAAAAAAUGAAGGAAAUAAAAAUGGAUCUAUGACUUACUCAGUUGUUUUCUUGGAUUCUAUAAAAAACAUUCAUCUCUUCACCUUGUUUCACCUGGCCUUUAAAUCGUUACUGAUAAAACUCCAUUUUCACAUCAACCCUUCACACUUCCAUUCUCUAUGAGGGUGCAGUGAGACACGAUAAGCUUUGGAGCAGGAGGUGGAGUGAGUGAUCAAGCAUUUAGCAGCUUCUUUGGGAUGGUAGAGUGUAACAUCCAGUAUUAAGCAUCAGGCUGGGGAAUUUUGCUGGGAUGCGUCCCCUGUAUCAAAGAGACUUGGACCUACGAUUUUUCUAUGCCUCAACCGGCAACAAUGCCAGAUUCAGUGGGUCAGCCACAAAGAACAGGCUCUCAGUCUCUCCUCUGUCUCUUGAAUCUUUCACCAAUGGAUGCUUUUGUUUCCCAGCCGUCAUAGAUAUGCCUCAGACUGGUAUUUUCUUGCCUUUUUAAAACAGACCAAAAAAAUCAUGCUCAAAGAAUGAUGUGCAUUAGAAAGGCAAUUCAAGCACAGUAACAUUAUCAGGGUAAGAUGAGGUUGGACAGGGAGUCUGGGGUAUUAGUCUCACAAUACUGGGCAUUGAUCUUGUGAGUUUUUUUGGCUCCCAAUAUGAUAAUAACAUUAUUUAGGAUUGGGAGCAUCUUAAAUGAUCAAAUCAUUUUAAUAAAUUAUGCAGUAAGUUUUCUGUUAAGCUAGAAAUGCAAAGUCAGAGCAAUAUAAACUCCUUUAUUUUAAAAAGACCUAAAAUUAUUCCUAGUCUUCCUGAAAAUAUUGCUUUAUAUAACUGGAGGUAUAAUUUUAUAGAUCUGUUAUUGACUGAUCAUUGAAUAAUAAAAACCAGUUUUGUGGUACUAUCUGUAAAACAGUUUUACAGAAGCGUAAUGGUCAAAUAGAGUUAGGUAAUUUUUAUUUUUUAUUUUUUAUUUUUUUAGACAGGGUCUCACUCUGCCAUUCAGGCUGGAGUGUGGUGGCACUAUUAUGGCUCAAUGAAGCCUCCCAGGUUCAAGUGCUCCUCCCAGAGGCCUCCCAGGUUCAAGUGCUCCUCCCACCUCAGCCUCCCAAGUAGCUGAGAAUACAGGCCUGCGCCACUAUGCCCGGUUAAUUCUUACAUUUUCUGUGGGGACGGGGUUUCACCAUGUUGCCCAGGCUGGUCUUGAACUCCUGGGCGCAAGUGAUGCUCCCUCCUCAGCCUCCCAGAGUGCUGGGAUUACAGGUAUGAGCCACCACACCCAGCUGAAGUAGGUCAUUUUUUAAAGAACUUAUGGAAAAUAUCCCUUUUGAAAUAGCAAGUAGAAAAAAAAAUCUUAGUACAAGAUGUUUAUCACAGUAUUGCUUUUAAUAACAAAAAAUUGGAAAACAACAUAAUGUAUAAUAAUAGUAGCUAAUAUGUAUUGAGUGUUUAGCAUGUGCCAGGCACUGUUGUAAGUGCUUUACAUGGAUUACAGUACUGUUUUUAUAUUUUACAGCUGAGGAAGCUGAAGUGCAGAGUAAAUUUUGGUAUGGUAGAAUGAAAUACCAAGGAGCCAUUAGAAGUUUUUGUGUAGAUCUUUCUUUAGGAUCACUGAAAAAUAUACUUUUUUUUUUUUUUUUUUUUGAGACAGUCUCGCUCUUGUUGCCCAGGCUGGAGUGCAGUGGUGUGAUCUCAGCUCACUACAACCUCAGCCUCCUGGGUUCAAGCCAUUCUCCUGUCUCAGCCUCCCAAGUAGCUGGGAUUACAGGUGUCUGCCACCACGCCUGGCUAAUUUUUGUAUUUUUAGUAGAAACGGGUUUUCACCAUGUUGGCCAGGCUGGUCUUCAACUCCCAACUUCAGGUAAUCCGCCCACCUCAGCCUCCCAAAGUGCUGGGAUUACAGGCGUGAGCCACCACGCCUGGCUGAAAAAUAUACUUUUACAUAAAGUUUAAAAAAAAAAAACAGAUUUUGGAACAGCAUAUAUGAUUCCCUUUAUGUAAACCUAUAUACUGUAAAAUAAAAUUUAUAGGAGGCCAGUGCAGUGACCGAUUCCUGUAAUCCCAGCACUUUGGGAGGCCAGGGCGGGAGGAUUGCACAAGCCAGGAGUUUGAGGCCAGCCUGGGCAACAUAGUGAGACCUUGUCUCUACAAAAAAAUUUAAAAAUAAAUAAAAUGUAUAGACCAUUGGUUUGUUUAGUAUUUAUUUGAGACAGGGUCUUGCUCUGUUGCCUAAGUUGGAGUGCAGUGGCACAACCACAGUUCACUGCAGCCUCAACCUCAUGGGCCCCACCUCAACCGGCUAAUUUUUUAAAAUUUUGUAGAGACAGGCUCUCCCUAUGUUUUCCAGGCUGAUAUCAAAACUCCUGGGCUCAAAGCAAUUCUCCCUCUUCGACCUUAGAAAGUGUUGGGAUUAUAGGUGUGAGCCACCGCACCAGCCAAGACCAUUGGUUUGAACUGAGCUCCUGCACUAGCCCCAACAGAUGAAACCAAAAUGGAGUUACUCAUGGUGAUGUUCCAUGAUGCCACCAAGCCAGAACCAAGAUCUGUAUCUGAUCUUUGAAAAAAUCAGGAGAGAGAUAAUAACCAAAUCCCCAGACAGGCCGCUUUUAACCAGUAUGAUAAGGCAGUGCCCUCUGCUUUAACCUUUACAA